rnacentral:tRNA from 1 species
GCAGGGAUGGCGAAAUGGCAAACGCAGCUGGUUUAGAACCAGUACUCUGAGAGUUCGAAUCUCUCUCCCUGUACGA